UAUUCUUGUCUGGAAAACUCCAUGGACAGAGGAGCCUGGCGGGCUGCUGUCCACGGGUCUCAAAGAGUCGGACACAACUGAGAGACUGAACACAGCUCAGCACAGUCUUUCAAGUUUGGGUACUGCUGCCUGUCUUAGCGAAGCUGAAGUUGUGAUGGAGAUGGGUUAUAACUUGAUAUUUGAAGUACUUGCUCAAGAUAACACAGAGCUGGGACCCUGAGAAUAAAAGGACCCAGUGUUGACUGGAG
rnacentral:lncRNA from 1 species